CCUACGGGUUGCAGCAGUAGGGAAUCUUCGGCAAUGGACGAAAGUCUGACCGAGCAACGCCGCGUGAGUGAAGAAGGUUUUCGGAUCGUAAAACUCUGUUGUUAGAGAAGAACAAGUAGGAGAGUAACUGCUCUUACCUUGACGGUAUCUAACCAGAAAGCCACGGCUAACUACGUGCCAGCAGCCGCGGUAAUACGUAGGUGGCAAGCGUUGUCCGGAUUUAUUGGGCGUAAAGCGAGCGCAGGCGGUCUUUUAAGUCUGAUGUGAAAGCCCUCGGCUCAACCGAGGAAGGUCAUUGGAAACUGGAGGACUUGAGUGCAGAAGAGGAGAGUGGAAUUCCAUGUGUAGCGGUGAAAUGCGUAGAUAUAUGGAGGAACACCAGUGGCGAAGGCGACUCUCUGGUCUGUAACUGACGCUGAGGCUCGAAAGCGUGGGGAGCAAACAGGAUUAGAUACCCGUGUAGUC
rnacentral:rRNA from 1 species